UGUGAAAACAUCUUAACCUCUGGGGAAA
rnacentral:piRNA from 1 species